rnacentral:rRNA from 1 species
AUGAACGCUCAGCGACAGGGCCUAACACAUGCAAGUCGAGGGGCAGCGCGGGUAGCAAUACCUGGCGGCGACCGGCGCACGGGUGCGUAACGCGUAUGCAACCUGCCCGCAACAGGGGUACAGCUCUCCGAAAGGGGAAUUAAUACCGCAUAAGACCGUAAUACAGCAUUGUAUAGCGGUAAAACAUUUAUGGGUUGCGGAUGGGCAUGCGUGACAUUAGCCAGAUGGCGGGGUAACAGCCCACCAUAGCUACGAUGUCUAGGGGUUCUGAGAGGAAGAUCCCCCACACCGGUACUGAGACACGGACCGGACUCCUACGGGAGGCAGCAGUGAGGAAUAUUGGUCAAUGGUCGCAAGACUGAACCAGCCAUGUCGCGUGCAGGAAGAAGGCUCUAUGGGUCUUAAACUGCUUUUAUACAGGAAGAAAGAGUAAUACGUGUAUUACACUGACCUAACUGUAAGAAUAAGCAUCGGCUAACUCCGUGCCAGCAGCCGCGGUAAUACGGAGGAUGCAAGCGUUAUCCGGAUUUAUUGGGUUUAAAGGGUGCGUAGGCGGACUUAUAAGUCAGUGGUGAAAUUUUUCGGCUCAACCGGGAGACUGCCGUUGAUACUGUUAGUCUUGAGUAUGUUCGAGGAAAACGGAAUGCGGCGUGUAGCGGUGAAAUGCUUAGAUAUGCCGCAGAACACCAAUUGCGAAGGCAGUUUUCCAGACCAUUACUGACGCUGAGGCACGAAAGCGCGGGUAUCAAACAGGAUUAGAUACCCUGGUAGUCCGCGCCGUAAACGAUGAUUACUGGUUGUUUGCGAUAAACAGUGAGCGACUGAGCAAAAGCAUUAAGUAAUCCACCUGGGGAGUACGUCGGCAACGAUGAAACUCAAAGGAAUUGACGGGGGCCCGCACAAGCGGAGGAACAUGUGGUUUAAUUCGAUGAUACGCGAGGAACCUUACCCGGGAUAGAACGUCUGUUGCAUAAUGGUGAAAGUCAUUAGUCGCAAGACAGCAGGCGAGGUGCUGCAUGGUUGUCGUCAGCUCGUGCCGUGAGGUGUCGGGUUAAGUCCCAUAACGAGCGCAACCCCUGCCAACAGUUGCCAUCAAGUAGAGUUGGGCACUCUGUUGGGACAGCCGGUGUAAACCGCGAGGAAGGCGGGGAUGACGUCAAAUCAGCACGGCCCUUACAUCCGGGGCUACACACGUGUUACAAUGGCCAUUACAGAGGGCAGCAAAAUAGUGAUAUAGAGCGAAUCCUCAAAAAUGGUCCUAGUUCGGAUCGGAGUCUGCAACCCGACUCCGUGAAGCCGGAUUCGCUAGUAAUCGCGCAUCAGCCACGGCGCGGUGAAUACGUUCCCGGGCCUUGUACACACCGCCCGUCAAGCCAUGGAAGCUGGGGGUACCUGAAGUAUGUAACCGCAAGGAGCGUCCUAGGGUAAAACGCGGUGACUGGGGCU